rnacentral:rRNA from 1 species
AACGAACGCUGGCGGCGUGCCUAACACAUGCAAGCCGAACGUGAUUGGAAGCUUGCUUCCAUGAAAGUGGCGCACGGGUGAGUAACGCGUAGAUAAUCUACCUGAUGAUCUGGGAUAACACUUCGAAAGGGGUGCUAAUACCGGAUAAGCCCACAGAGUCCUUGGACUCAGCGGGAAAAGGGGGGGACCUUCGGGCCUUCUGUCAUCAGAUGAGUCUGCGUACCAUUAGCUAGUUGGUAGGGUAAAGGCCUACCAAGGCGACGAUGGUUAGCUGGUCUGAGAGGAUGAUCAGACACACUGGAACUGAGACACGGUCCAGACUCCUACGGGAGGCAGGAGUGGGGAAUUUUGCGCAAUGGGCGAAAGCCUGACGCAGCAAAGCCGCGUGAGUGAUGAAGGCUCUUGGGUCGUAAAGCUCUGACAGAGGGAAAGAAAUGCAGGGGUGCUAAUAUCACCUUUGCUUGACGGUACCCUCAAAGGAAGCACCGGCUAACUCCGUGCCAGCCGCCGCCGUAACAC